rnacentral:rRNA from 1 species
GUUGUAUGGUUAAGUGACUAAGCGUACACGGUGGAUGCCUGGGCAGUCAGAGGCGAUGAAGGACGUACUAACUUGCGAUAAGCGCAGAUAAGGCAGUAAGAGCCGUUUGAGUCUGCGAUUUCCGAAUGGGGAAACCCAACUGCAUAAGCAGUUACUGUUAACUGAAUACAUAGGUUAACAGAGCAAACCGGGGGAACUGAAACAUCUAAGUACCCCGAGGAGAAGAAAUCAACCGAGAUUCCGGUAGUAGCGGCGAGCGAACCUGGAUUAGCCCUUAAGCACUCGGUGAAGUAGGUGAACAAGCUGGAAAGCUUGGCGAUACAGGGUGAUAGCCCCGUAACCGACGCUUCAUCGAGCGUGAAAUCGAGUAGGGCGGGACACGUGAUAUCCUGUCUGAAUAUGGGGGGACCAUCCUCCAAGGCUAAAUACUCCUGACUGACCGAUAGUGAACCAGUACCGUGAGGGAAAGGCGAAAAGAACCCCUGUGAGGGGAGUGAAAUAGAACCUGAAACCGUGUACGUACAAGCAGUAGGAGCACCUUCGUGGUGUGACUGCGUACCUUUUGUAUAAUGGGUCAGCGACUUAUAUUCAGUGGCAAGGUUAACCGUAUAGGGGAGCCGUAGCGAAAGCGAGUCUUAACUGGGCGCUCAGUCUCUGGAUAUAGACCCGAAACCGGGUGAUCUAGCCAUGGGCAGGUUGAAGGUUGAGUAACAUCAACUGGAGGACCGAACCGACUAAUGUUGAAAAAUUAGCGGAUGACUUGUGGCUAGGGGUGAAAGGCCAAUCAAACUCGGAGAUAGCUGGUUCUCCCCGAAAGCUAUUUAGGUAGCGCCUCGGACGAAUACUACUGGGGGUAGAGCACUGUUAAGGCUAGGGGGUCAUCCCGACUUACCAACCCUUUGCAAACUCCGAAUACCAGUAAGUACUAUCCGGGAGACACACGGCGGGUGCUAACGUCCGUCGUGGAGAGGGAAACAACCCAGACCGCCAGCUAAGGUCCCAAAGUAUUGCUAAGUGGGAAACGAUGUGGGAAGGCUCAGACAGCUAGGAUGUUGGCUUAGAAGCAGCCAUCAUUUAAAGAAAGCGUAAUAGCUCACUAGUCGAGUCGGCCUGCGCGGAAGAUGUAACGGGGCUAAGCAAUACACCGAAGCUGCGGCAAUAUCUUUUAGAUAUUGGGUAGGGGAGCGUUCUGUAAGCCGUUGAAGGUGGAUCGUAAGGUUUGCUGGAGGUAUCAGAAGUGCGAAUGCUGACAUGAGUAACGACAAAGGGGGUGAAAAACCUCCUCGCCGGAAGACCAAGGGUUCCUGUCCAACGUUAAUCGGGGCAGGGUGAGUCGACCCCUAAGGUGAGGCCGAAAGGCGUAAUCGAUGGGAAACGGGUUAAUAUUCCCGUACUUCUGACUAUUGCGAUGGGGGGACGGAGAAGGCUAGGUGGGCCAGGCGACGGUUGUCCUGGUUCAAGUGCGUAGGCUUGAGAGUUAGGUAAAUCCGGCUCUCUCUAAGGCUGAGACACGACGUCGAGCUGCUACGGCAGUGAAGUCAUUGAUGCCAUGCUUCCAGGAAAAGCCUCUAAGCUUCAGAUAGUCAGGAAUCGUACCCCAAACCGACACAGGUGGUCGGGUAGAGAAUACCAAGGCGCUUGAGAGAACUCGGGUGAAGGAACUAGGCAAAAUGGUACCGUAACUUCGGGAGAAGGUACGCUCUUGAUGGUGAAGUCCCUCGCGGAUGGAGCUGACGAGAGUCGCAGAUACCAGGUGGCUGCAACUGUUUAUUAAAAACACAGCACUGUGCAAAAUCGCAAGAUGACGUAUACGGUGUGACGCCUGCCCGGUGCCGGAAGGUUAAUUGAUGGGGUUAGCGCAAGCGAAGCUCUUGAUCGAAGCCCC